AACGCACAUUGCGCCCCUUGGUAUUCCGAGGGGCAUGCCUGUUCGAGCGUCAUUUCACCAAUCAAGCACCGCUUGGUAUUAGGCGCCCAGGCCGGGUUCACCGCCCGGCCCGCCCGGAAUGCAUCGGCGAGGCACCGACCCCCGGCGUGUUAGAUCUUUCACGAGACGUCGGGAGCACCGGUGGACCUCCGCCGUCAAACCUCGACCCGAGCCCUAAACAGGGCCGGGCCACUUUUCUCAAGGUUGACCUCGGAUCAGGUAGGAAUACCCGCUGAACUUAA
rnacentral:misc_RNA from 1 species